rnacentral:rRNA from 1 species
GGAGACAGCAGUGGGGAAUAUUGCACAAUGGGGGGAACCCUGAUGCAGCGACGCCGCGUGGGUGAAGGAGUAUUUCGGUAUGUAAAGCCCUAUCAGCAGGGAAGAACAAUGACGGUACCUGACUAAGAAGCACCGGCUAAAUACGUGCCAGCAGCCGCGGUAAUACGUAUGGUGCAAGCGUUAUCCGGAUUUACUGGGUGUAAAGGGAGCGCAGGCGGCGCGUUAAGACUGGUGUGAAAGCCCGCGGCCCAACCGCGGGACUGCAUUGGAAACUGGCGCGCUGGAGUGCCGGAGGGGUAGGCGGG